rnacentral:snRNA from 1 species
GUGCUUCCCUGGCAGAGCAGAAGCCAUCCAGAAGGUGGUUCCCAAGGGCGAGGCACCUCCAUUGCACUUGGGGUGUGCCGAAACACACAUCACCCUGUGAUUCUCCCAAAUGUGGGAAAUUCAACUGUGUAAUUUCUGGUCACUGGGGACUGCGUUCAUGCUCUCCCCUA